AUGUAACCGGACCUUACCGUUGCAGUAAAAUGCAUCGGUUUGGAAAGGGAGAUAUCAUAUACCCUAUGUUUAUUUUACCUUUGUUGCUUUGGCGGGCCGUCUUUUUAAGCGUUGGCCCCGGCUGAUCGCGCCCGCCAGAGGACCUAAAACUCUUUUAUUAGUGAUGUCUGAGUACUAUAUAAUAGUUA
rnacentral:misc_RNA from 1 species